rnacentral:sRNA from 1 species
CAGUUGGAGUUUAUGACAAAACAUCCCGAUACUGGAGAAUUAAAUCGAAAAAUCAUGCCAUGAGCAUUCAUGCUUUUGACCUUAAUUCUGAUGGAGUGAAUGAACUGAUAACUGGUUGGUCCAAUGGGAAGGUUGAUGCUCGAAGUGACCGAACUGGGGAGGUCAUCUUUAAGGACAAUUUUUCUUCUGCAAUUGCCGGUGUGGUAGAGGGAGAUUACCGGAUGGAUGGCCACAUACAUCCGGGGCUACCUGCCUGGCACGGCUGAGAUGAGGGGGAACCUCAUGGACACCAGUGCAGAGCAGGACCUGAUCCGAGAGCUGAGUCAGAAGAAGCAGAAUCUGUUGCUGGAACUCCGUAACUAUGAGGAAAACACCAAGGUAGGUGUAGGUCCUAAUGUGACCAGGUAAUGGAGGCUGAAAUGUUGAGACUGACCGGGAGGAUCAGCAAAUAUGGAAGAAUGAGAGUGUCAUUG